UAAAUAAAAUAUUUAAAAUAAAAAAUAAAAACAUGAAGCAUCUCACAAUUCCUUGGCCUUGCUUGGUCCAUUCCCUAGGUGGGGUUGUUUGCUUCUCUUAAUGACUCCUAUCUUUAAGAAGUUCAUUUAAAACAGGCACAGCUACUUUAUUUAUAUGCUAAUCACUAAGGCCAUAAUUGGAUCAGGUCUAUACGGCAGUCACCCUGAGAUAUUUAUGGCACAUGCUUUCUCCAAGUCCUCUCUUUUCCAUUGACUAGAUCAGAGGGAAUGCAAGAGGAGAAAGAGGUUAGUUAUGCUGCAGGGUGUUAUUUAGAGGUAAUUCGGCAUGAUAUAUGUUAGCACUGGGUAGGACACACAGAGUAUUUGCAAAAGAGAAAAAGGAAGAAAAGAGUAGCAUUUUGUGCUAGGAAUCAGUGCUGCAUGUGGCUAGAGAAUAACAAUUAUGUAUACUGGCUUCACUUUAAAUUCCUGACCAUUAAUCUCAAGUAGGCACUUAACGCUGCCCAGUAAUCACACUGUGUUUCUCUAACCCAGUCAUCCUCUUACUCUCUACGGCCCUCAAAAGACUGGACGAUGCCAAUCUGCACUGAUGAGGCUGAACCUCACUCAGUCACACAUUCAAAUGCUAAUCUCUUCCAGAAACAUCCUCCCAGACACAACCAGAAAUAAUGUUUACCAGCUUGCUGGGCAUCCCUUAGCCUAGUCAAGUUGACACAUAAAUUUAACCAUGACUCUCUCUCUUCCUGUGUGUGUACAUAUUUAUUUGUUUAUCAGCUUUUCUUGUGUUCCACUGAUUUUGUUUGUCAGGAUCUGUGGAAACACCAUACUGCUUUAAUUACUACAUUUUUAUGGUAAUUCUGUUCUUCUUUGACAUUAGAUUUGGCUUUUCUUGUCCAUUUGCUAUGUCAUGCACGUUUUAGAAUCAGUUUCUUGAGAUCCAUGAAAAACUCUGUCAGCAUUUUCAUUGAAGUUACAUUGGAUAUAUUUAUUAACUUAGAGAAACUUGCUAUCCGUAUUACAAUGAAAGUUCCUAUGCAUAAAAUAGUAUUUCUUUCUGUUUAAUUAGGCCCCCUUUAAUAUUGUUUGAUAAAGUUUCAUAUUAGCUCAUAAU